GUUGUACGUUGACUGGCGGUCGCUUCGUUAACACCGAAGAGGUCGGCGGUUCGAACCCCAUCGCACGGUC
rnacentral:tRNA from 1 species